GAGCCCGUGGCUCAAUGUUAGAGCGUUCGAUUCGUAUACGAAAGGUCGCGGGUUUGAAUCCCAGGUUUG
rnacentral:tRNA from 1 species